rnacentral:rRNA from 1 species
AACGAACGCUGGCGGCGUGUUUAAGACAUGCAAGUCGAACGGGAUGAAGUUGUAGCAAUACCGCUUCAUUCAGUGGCGCACGGGUGCGUAACACGUGAGUUACAUGCCCUGCAGUGGGGAAUAGCCCGCCGAAAGGCGGAUUAAUACCCCAUGGUCCCGCGAGGGUAAAGGUGGCGAAAGCUGCCGCUGCAGGAUUGGCUCGCGGCCUAUCAGCUAGUUGGCGGGGUAACGGCCCACCAAGGCUACGACGGGUACCUGGUCUGAGAGGAUGAUCAGGCACACUGGAACUGAGACACGGUCCAGACACCUACGGGUGGCAGCAGUCGGGAAUAAUUCACAAUGGGGGAAACCCUGAUGGUGCAACGCCGCGUGGAGGAUGAAGGUCUUCGGAUUGUAAACUCCUGUCAUCGGGAAGUAAGACCUGACGGUAAAUAGCCGGCAGGGUUGAUAGUACCCGAAGAGGAAGGGACGGCUAACUUCGUGCCAGCCGCCGCCGUAA